UCGUCAUCGUAGGGUUAGUCGGGUCCUAAGUCGAGUCCGAAAGGGGUAGACGAUGGCAAAUAGGUUAAUAUUCCUAUACUUAUUAUAGAGCGUGAUGUGGGGACGCAUAGAGUUAAUCGAGCUGGCUGAUGGAAUAGCUGGUCGAAGGACGUAGGUCGUAAUUUAGGCAAAUCCGGAUUACACGAGACCGAGAUCUUACAGGCAGACAAAGCUCUUCGGAGGUGCGUUUGAAUCGAUGAUACUGUCGUGCCAAGAAAAGCCACUAAGCAUAUCUAUAAUAACCCGUACCGUAAACCGACACAGGUAGGUGGGAUGAGUAUUCUAAGGCGCGUGGAAGAACCCUGGUUAAGGAACUCUGCAAACUAGCACCGUAUCUUCGGUAGAAGGUGUGCCUACUUCUGUAUUAGAGAUUUACUCUCGAAAGCGGAAGAGGUUGCAACAAAGAGUCCCUCCCGACUGUUUAC
rnacentral:rRNA from 1 species